GCAGCCGCGGUAAUUCCAGCUCCAAUAGCGUAUAUUAAAGUUGUUGCAGUUAAAAAGCUCGUAGUUGAAUUUCGGGGUUAGUAGGUUGGUCAUGCCUCUGGUAUGUACUGGUCUCACUGAUUCCUCCUUCCUGACGAACCGUAAUGCCAUUAAUUUGGUGUUGCGGGAAAUUUGGACUGUUACUUUGAAAAAAUUAGAGUGUUUAAAGCAAGCUAACGCUUGAAUACAUUAGCAUGGAAUAAUGAAAUAGGACGUUCGAUCCUAUUUUGUUGGUUUCUAGGAUUGACGUAAUGAUUAAUAGGGAUAGUUGGG
rnacentral:rRNA from 1 species